CAAAUGGAGGUAGACCGAUGGA
rnacentral:siRNA from 1 species